UUUGGUAUAUUUCUGUGAUUAUAUUCAAACAUUACAUGAGGCUGAACAUGAUCUGAUGAAUUUUUAUUGAGCUAUACUCUAAAGGUUUAAAUGAAUGAUAUAGCAUUAUUUUCAGAUGAACGGAAAUAUUUACUUAUAUUUAAUUCUGAAAAAUUACAACUCCAAAACAAUUAAUUUUAAAGAAAAUAGUUACGGCAAUCUUCUUCAUCUGGGAUAUUAUUUUUAGUAGCAAAAAAUUAAUGAUUUAUUUGGCUGUUUGGUAUUAGGCUAUUUAUAUAUUAAUGGAUCAAAUUUGUAAUUUUGGUCUUUAUUUUUUAAAGCUAUUUAGAACUAUAACUUGUAAAUUAAAAGAAAUUAAAUACAUUAAUUUUAAUUGCCAGAUAUUUACGAAGGAGUGCUAAUAUAUUGCUAUUAUGUAUUUAGUUAAUCAAUAUAUUCAUACAGCCCUUUCAUGCUCAAUUCACCAAUAUUCUUUGUGCCAUUUACAUUAAAUGACUACAACUUUAUUAGUAAAAUAUACAUAAAUUAUUAAAUUUUCAAAAAAAUCCUAAUUAAUGUGAAUUAAUCUGAUUUCAUAUAAUUAAAAUUUAAUGAUAUUAAGAUAAAAGUUAAAGUUUUCUUCAAUAACAUUUAUAUUAAACUGAUAUACAAUUAUAAUAUAAUUUCUCAUUUUAAAUUAUUUUAUCUAGUGC
rnacentral:lncRNA from 1 species